GACGAACGCUGGCGGCGUGCUUAACACAUGCAAGUCAAGGGGGCUGGGUUGCAAGAUCCAGCAACCGGCGAACGGGUGCGUAACACGUGAGUAACCUGCCUAGGUGUGGGGGAUAGCCGGCCCAACGGCCGGGUAAUACCGCAUACGUUCCUUGGGGGGAGUCCCCUGGGGAGGAAACCUGUAGGGUGUCAUAGCCUUACGGGGCAGCUAGAGGGGCUCGCGGCCUAUCAGCUAGUUGGUGGGGUCAAGGCCCACCAAGGCUCUGACGGGUAGCUGGUCUGAGAGGAUGGCCAGCCACAUUGGGACUGAGAGACGGCCCAGACUCCUACGGGAGGCAGCAGUGGGGAAUCUUGCGCAAUGGGAGCAAUCCUGACGCAGCGACGCCGCGU
rnacentral:rRNA from 1 species